GACGAACGCUGGCGGCGUGCUUAACACAUGCAAGUCGAACGGAAAGGCCCUGCUUUUGUGGGGUGCUCGAGUGGCGAACGGGUGAGUAACACGUGAGUAACCUGCCCUUGACUUUGGGAUAACUUCAGGAAACUGGGGCUAAUACCGGAUAGGAGCUCCUGCUGCAUGGUGGGGGUUGGAAAGUUUCGGCGGUUGGGGAUGGACUCGCGGCUUAUCAGCUUGUUGGUGGGGUAGUGGCUUACCAAGGCCUUGACGGGUAGCCGGCCUGAGAGGGUGACCGGCCACAUUAGGACUGAGAUACGGCCCAGACUCCUACGGGAGGCAGCAGUGGGGAAUAUUGCACAAUGGGCGGAAGCCUGAUGCAGCGACGCCGCGUGCGGGAUAACGGCCUUCGGGUUGUAAACCGCUUUCGCCUGUGACGAAGCGUGAGUGACGGUAAUGGGUAAAGAAGCACCGGCUAACUACGUG
rnacentral:rRNA from 1 species